rnacentral:rRNA from 1 species
UACGGGGGGAGCAAGCGUUGUUCGGAUUUACUGGGCGUAAAGGGCGCGUAGGCGGCGUGACAAGUCACUUGUGAAAUCUCCGGGCUUAACCCGGAAACUGCCUUUGAUACUAUCUGUCUUGAAUAUGGUGGAGGUGAGCGGAAUAUGUCAUGUAGCGGUGAAAUGCUUAGAGAUGACAUAGAACACCCAUUGCGAAGGCAGCUCACUACGCCUAUAUUGACGCUGAGGCACGAAAGCGUGGGGAUCAAACAGG